AUUGAACGCUGGCGGCAUGCCUUACACAUGCAAGUCGAACGGCAGCACGGGAGUAAUCCUGGUGGCGAGUGGCUAACGGGUGAGUAAAUCAUCGGAACGUGCCCAGUCGUGGGGGAUAACGUAGCGAAAGCUACGCUAAUAUCGCAUACGAUCCGUGGAUGAAAUCGGGGGACCGUAAGUCCUCGCGCUAUUGGAGCGUCCGAUGUCAGCUUAGGUAGUUGGUGAGGUAAAGGCUCACCAACCCGCCGAUCUGUAGCUGGUCUGAGAGGACGACCAGCCACACUGGGACUGAGACACGGCCCAGACUCCUACGGGAGGCAGCAGUGGGGAAUUUUGGACAAUGGGCGCAAGCCUGAUCCAGCAAUGCCGCGUGCAGGAUGAAGGCCUUCGGGUUGUAAACUGCUUUUGUACGGAGCGAAAAGGCUUCCACUAAUACUGGGGGCUCAUGACGGUACCGUAAGAAUAAGCACCGGCUAACUACGUG
rnacentral:rRNA from 1 species